rnacentral:rRNA from 1 species
GAUGAACGCUGGCGGCGUGCCUAAUACAUGCAAGUCGAGCGCAGCGGGGACGGGUGAGGAACACGUGGAAACCCUCCUAUAAGACUGGGUUAACUUCGGGAAACCGUAGCUAAACGGGAUAUUUAUAGAUCGAUCCGCGGUGCAUUCGCUAGUUGGUAAGGUAACGGCUUACAAAGGCCACGAUGCAUAGCCGACCUGAGAGGGUGAUCGGCCACACUGGGACUGAGACACGGUCCAGACUCCUACGGGAGGUAGCAGUAGGGAAUCUUCCGCAAUGGGCGAAAGCCUGACCGAGCAACGCCGCGUGAGUGAUGAAGGUCUUCGGAUCGUAAAACUCUGUUAUUAGGGAAGCGGUACCUAACCAGAAAGCCACGGCUAACUACGUGCCAGCCGCCGCGGUAAUUC